GUGCUCACUUCAGCAGCAAGUAUACUAAAAUUGGAAUGACACAGAGAAGAUGAGCAGGGCCCCUACACCGAAUAGGAUGGGAAAUGGAGACUUUCCUA
rnacentral:snRNA from 1 species